AGGAUCAUUCGCAAUGGACGAAAGUCUGACGAUGCGACGCUGCGUGGAGGAUGAAGGCCUUCGGGUUGUAAACUCCUGUCAUGAGGGAAAAGGAGAGGGUACCCAAUACGUACUUGAUUUGAUGGUACCUCAAGAGGAAGGGGCGGCUAACUCUGUGCCAGCAGCCGCGGUAAUACAGAGGCCCCUAGCGUUGUUCGGAUUUACUGGGCGUAAAGGGUGCGUAGGCGGUCAGGCGUGUCGAGUGUGAAAUCUCCGGGCUCAACCCGGAAAGUGCGCUCGAAACUACCUUAGACUAGAGUAUGGGAGAGGGGAUCGGAAUGCAGGGUGUAGCGGUGAAAUGCGUUGAUAUCCUGCAGAACACCGGAGGCGAAGGCGGAUCCCUGGAACAUUACUGACGCUCAGGCACGAAAGUCGGGGGAGCAAACA
rnacentral:rRNA from 1 species